rnacentral:rRNA from 1 species
CCUACGGGUGGCUGCAGUGGGGAAUUUUGGACAAUGGGGGAAACCCUGAUCCAGCAAUGCCGCGUGUGUGAAGAAGGCCUUCGGGUUGUAAAGCACUUUUGGCGGGAACGAAACGGCGCUGGUUAAUACCUGGCGCUAAUGACGGUACCCGCAGAAUAAGCACCGGCUAACUACGUGCCAGCAGCCGCGGUAAUACGUAGGGUGCAAGCGUUAAUCGGAAUUACUGGGCGUAAAGCGUGCGCAGGCGGUUUUGUAAGACGGAUGUGAAAUCCCCGGGCUCAACCUGGGAACUGCAUUCGUGACUGCAAGGCUAGAGUAUGUCAGAGGGAGGUGGAAUUCCGCGUGUAGCAGUGAAAUGCGUAGAGAUGCGGAGGAACACCGAUGGCGAAGGCAGCCUCCUGGGAUAAUACUGACGCUCAUGCACGAAAGCGUGGGGAGCAAACAGGAUUAGAUACCCCUGUAGUC